rnacentral:rRNA from 2 species
GAAUUUAAUAUAAGUUUAAUAAAAAAUUUAGUAUUAAUUUAUUAAGGUUAUAUUUUAUUGGGAGGAUAGUUAAAUUAAAAGAACUUUAAAAAUAAAAAUCCAUUAAUUUGUGAAGUAGUAUUUAAGAAUGGCAGUGAUGGUUAAUUAGAAUUAAUUACCUUAGGGAUAACAGCGUUAUAUUUUUAGAGAGAUCUUAUUGAUAAAAAUGUUUGC